rnacentral:rRNA from 1 species
UACGUAGGGUGCAAGCGUUAAUCGGAAUUACUGGGCGUAAAGCGUGCGCAGGCGGUUUUGUAAGUCUGAUGUGAAAUCCCCGGGCUCAGCCUGGGAAUUGCAUUGGAGACUGCAAGGCUAGAAUCUGGCAGAGGGGGGUAGAAUUCCACGUGUAGCAGUGAAAUGCGUAGAGAUGUGGAGGAACACCGAUGGCGAAGGCAGCCCCCUGGGUCAAGAUUGACGCUCAUGCACGAAAGCGUGGGGAGCAAA